AGAGUUUGAUCCUGGCUCAGGAUGAACGCUGGCGGCGUGCUUAACACAUGCAAGUCGAACGAUGAAGCCCAGCUUGCUGGGUGGAUUAGUGGCGAACGGGUGAGUAACACGUGAGUAACCUGCCCCUGACUCUGGGAUAAGCCCGGGAAACUGGGUCUAAUACCGGAUAUGACCAUGGGACGCAUGUCUUGUGGUGGAAAGAUUUAUCGGUUGGGGAUGGACUCGCGGCCUAUCAGCUUGUUGGUGAGGUAAUGGCUCACCAAGGCGACGACGGGUAGCCGGCCUGAGAGGGUGACCGGCCACACUGGGACUGAGACACGGCCCAAACUCCUACGGGAGGCUGCAGUGGGGAAUAUUGCACAAUGGGCGCAAGCCUGAUGCAGCGACGCCGCGUGAGGGAUGGAGGCCUUCGGGUUGUAAACCUCUUUUAUCGGGGAGCAAGCGUGAGUGAGUUUACCCGUUGAAUAAGCACCGGCUAACUACGUGCCAGCAGCCGCGGUAAUACGUAGGGUGCAAGCGUUAUCCGGAAUUAUUGGGCGUAAAGGGCUCGUAGGCGGUUCGUCGCGUCCGGUGUGAAAGUCCAUCGCUUAACGGUGGAUCCGCGCCGGGUACGGGCGGGCUUGAGUGCGGUAGGGGAGACUGGAAUUCCCGGUGUAACGGUGGAAUGUGUAGAUAUCGGGAAGAACACCAGUGGCGAAGGCGACUUUCUGGACGAAAACUGACGCUGAGGCGCGAAAGCCAGGGGAGCGAACGGGAUUAGAUACCCCGGUAGUCCUGGCCGUAAACGAUGGGUACUAGGUGUAGGAGGUAUCGACCCCUUCUGUGCCGGAGUUAACCGCAAUAAGUACCCCGCCUGGGGAGUACGACCGCAAGGUUGAAACUCAAAGGAAUUGACGGGGGCCCGCACAAGCGGCGGAGCAUGCGGAUUAAUUCGAUGCAACGCGAAGAACCUUACCUGGUCUUGACAUCCACAGAACUUAGCAGAGAUGCUUUGGUGCCUUCGGGAACUGUGAGACAGGUGCUGCAUGGCUGUCGUCAGCUCGUGCCGGGAAAUGUUGGGUUAAGUCCCGCAACGAGCGCAACCCUUAUCCUUUGUUGCCAGCGGUCCGGCCGGGAACUCAAAGGAGACUGCCAGUGAUAAACUGGAGGAAGGUGGGGAUGACGUCAAGUCAUCAUGGCCCUUACGACCAGGGCUACACACGUGCUACAAUGGCGCAUACAAAGAGAAGCGACCUCGCGAGAGCAAGCGGACCUCAUAAAGUGCGUCGUAGUCCGGAUUGGAGUCUGCAACUCGACUCCAUGAAGUCGGAAUCGCUAGUAAUCGUGGAUCAGAAUGCCACGGUGAAUACGUUCCCGGGCCUUGUACACACCGCCCGUCAAG
rnacentral:rRNA from 1 species